rnacentral:snoRNA from 1 species
GAUUUCUCUCCCAGGAAUCUAUUACCAAAAAGAUGGAGCAAUCUGAUAAUUGUGAUUGCAUAAUCCACUGGUAAACGUCACAAACCAAUAGGGUAAGCAUAAGGACGUUGAUGGAGCCUUAGGGCUUCUCCGUCUUAGCUAUUGCCACUGGCUCUCAUAUUCCAUUGCCUUGCGGAGCGGCGUUGCUGCUUUUACCGUUUGGGACCUGCCAUGAGAUCUAUAUUC